UACGAAUGGGGCAAGCGUUGUUCGGAAUAACUGGGCUUAAAGCGUGCGUAGGCGGCUAUGAAAGUCAGAAGUGAAAUCCCCGGGCUUAACCCGGGAAUUGCUUUUGAAACUCCAUAGCUAGAAUCCGGGAGAGGUUAGCAGAAUUCCCAGUGUAGAGGUGAAAUUCGCAGAUAUUGGGAGGAAUACCAGUGGCGAAGGCGGCUAACUGGACCGGCAUUGACGCUGAGGUACGAAAGCGUGGGUAGCAAACAGG
rnacentral:rRNA from 1 species